rnacentral:sRNA from 2 species
CCAUUAUCAACGCUUAAUUCCCAUAUAGGGAAACGGGGGACCCAGUUUAAGCUAUCUAGGAUAGAUACCUUAUAGGGGUGAAUCCUCUUGGCAUCUUCGAUGCCCGGGGGUAGGGCACUCUCAAGCCCGAAUCCGACAGCUAACCUCGUAAGCGAUUUGAGAGAGAAGCA